GCCCAGGUGGUGAAAUUGGUAGACGCAGGGGACUCAAAAUCCCCCGCCGCAAGGCGUGCCGGUUCGAUUCCGGCCUUGGGCACCA
rnacentral:tRNA from 1 species